rnacentral:rRNA from 1 species
UACGUAGGGGGCAAGCGUUGUCCGGAUUUAUUGGGCGUAAAGAGCUCGUAGGCGGCUUGGCAAGUCGGAUGUGAAACCCCCAGGCUUAACCUGGGGACGCCACUCGAAACUGCCAUGGCUAGAGUCCGGUAGGGGAUCGCGGAAUUCCUGGUGUAGCGGUGAAAUGCGCAGAUAUCAGGAGGAACACCAGUGGCGAAGGCGGUGAUCUGGGCCGGAACUGACGCUGAGGAGCGAAAGCGUGGGGAGCGAACAGG